GGUUAAGCGACUAAGCGUACACGGUGGAUGCCCUGGCAGUCAGAGGCGAUGAAGGACGUGCUAAUCUGCGAUAAGCGUCGGUAAGGUGAUAUGAACCGUUAUAACCGGCGAUUUCCGAAUGGGGAAACCCAGUGUGUUUCGACACACUAUCAUUAACUGAAUCCAUAGGUUAAUGAGGCGAACCGGGGGAACUGAAACAUCUAAGUACCCCGAGGAAAAGAAAUCAACCGAGAUUCCCCCAGUAGCGGCGAGCGAACGGGGAGCAGCCCAGAGCCUGAAUCAGUGUGUGUGUUAGUGGAAGCGUCUGGAAAGGCGCGCGAUACAGGGUGACAGCCCCGUACACAAAAAUGCACAUGCUGUGAGCUCGAUGAGUAGGGCGGGACACGUGGUAUCCUGUCUGAAUAUGGGGGGACCAUCCUCCAAGGCUAAAUACUCCUGACUGACCGAUAGUGAACCAGUACCGUGAGGGAAAGGCGAAAAGAACCCCGGCGAGGGGAGUGAAAAAGAACCUGAAACCGUGUACGUACAAGCAGUGGGAGCACGCUUAGGCGUGUGACUGCGUACCUUUUGUAUAAUGGGUCAGCGACUUAUAUUCUGUAGCAAGGUUAACCGAAUAGGGGAGCCGAAGGGAAACCGAGUCUUAACUGGGCGUUAAGUUGCAGGGUAUAGACCCGAAACCCGGUGAUCUAGCCAUGGGCAGGUUGAAGGUUGGGUAACACUAACUGGAGGACCGAACCGACUAAUGUUGAAAAAUUAGCGGAUGACUUGUGGCUGGGGGUGAAAGGCCAAUCAAACCGGGAGAUAGCUGGUUCUCCCCGAAAGCUAUUUAGGUAGCGCCUCGUGAAUUCAUCUCCGGGGGUAGAGCACUGUUUCGGCAAGGGGGUCAUCCCGACUUACCAACCCGAUGCAAACUGCGAAUACCGGAGAAUGUUAUCACGGGAGACACACGGCGGGUGCUAACGUCCGUCGUGAAGAGGGAAACAACCCAGACCGCCAGCUAAGGUCCCAAAGUCAUGGUUAAGUGGGAAACGAUGUGGGAAGGCCCAGACAGCCAGGAUGUUGGCUUAGAAGCAGCCAUCAUUUAAAGAAAGCGUAAUAGCUCACUGGUCGAGUCGGCCUGCGCGGAAGAUGUAACGGGGCUAAACCAUGCACCGAAGCUGCGGCAGCGACGCUUAUGCGUUGUUGGGUAGGGGAGCGUUCUGUAAGCCUGCGAAGGUGUGCUGUGAGGCAUGCUGGAGGUAUCAGAAGUGCGAAUGCUGACAUAAGUAACGAUAAAGCGGGUGAAAAGCCCGCUCGCCGGAAGACCAAGGGUUCCUGUCCAACGUUAAUCGGGGCAGGGUGAGUCGACCCCUAAGGCGAGGCCGAAAGGCGUAGUCGAUGGGAAACAGGUUAAUAUUCCUGUACUUGGUGUUACUGCGAAGGGGGGACGGAGAAGGCUAUGUUGGCCGGGCGACGGUUGUCCCGGUUUAAGCGUGUAGGCUGGUUUUCCAGGCAAAUCCGGAAAAUCAAGGCUGAGGCGUGAUGACGAGGCACUACGGUGCUGAAGCAACAAAUGCCCUGCUUCCAGGAAAAGCCUCUAAGCAUCAGGUAACAUCAAAUCGUACCCCAAACCGACACAGGUGGUCAGGUAGAGAAUACCAAGGCGCUUGAGAGAACUCGGGUGAAGGAACUAGGCAAAAUGGUGCCGUAACUUCGGGAGAAGGCACGCUGAUAUGUAGGUGAAGUCCCUCGCGGAUGGAGCUGAAAUCAGUCGAAGAUACCAGCUGGCUGCAACUGUUUAUUAAAAACACAGCACUGUGCAAACACGAAAGUGGACGUAUACGGUGUGACGCCUGCCCGGUGCCGGAAGGUUAAUUGAUGGGGUUAGCGCAAGCGAAGCUCUUGAUCGAAGCCCCGGUAAACGGCGGCCGUAACUAUAACGGUCCUAAGGUAGCGAAAUUCCUUGUCGGGUAAGUUCCGACCUGCACGAAUGGCGUAAUGAUGGCCAGGCUGUCUCCACCCGAGACUCAGUGAAAUUGAACUCGCUGUGAAGAUGCAGUGUACCCGCGGCAAGACGGAAAGACCCCGUGAACCUUUACUAUAGCUUGACACUGAACAUUGAGCCUUGAUGUGUAGGAUAGGUGGGAGGCUUUGAAGUGUGGACGCCAGUCUGCAUGGAGCCGACCUUGAAAUACCACCCUUUAAUGUUUGAUGUUCUAACGUGGACCCGUAAUCCGGGUUGCGGACAGUGUCUGGUGGGUAGUUUGACUGGGGCGGUCUCCUCCUAAAGAGUAACGGAGGAGCACGAAGGUUGGCUAAUCCUGGUCGGACAUCAGGAGGUUAGUGCAAUGGCAUAAGCCAGCUUGACUGCGAGCGUGACGGCGCGAGCAGGUGCGAAAGCAGGUCAUAGUGAUCCGGUGGUUCUGAAUGGAAGGGCCAUCGCUCAACGGAUAAAAGGUACUCCGGGGAUAACAGGCUGAUACCGCCCAAGAGUUCAUAUCGACGGCGGUGUUUGGCACCUCGAUGUCGGCUCAUCACAUCCUGGGGCUGAAGUAGGUCCCAAGGGUAUGGCUGUUCGCCAUUUAAAGUGGUACGCGAGCUGGGUUUAGAACGUCGUGAGACAGUUCGGUCCCUAUCUGCCGUGGGCGCUGGAGAACUGAGGGGGGCUGCUCCUAGUACGAGAGGACCGGAGUGGACGCAUCACUGGUGUUCGGGUUGUCAUGCCAAUGGCACUGCCCGGUAGCUAAAUGCGGAAGAGAUAAGUGCUGAAAGCAUCUAAGCACGAAACUUGCCCCGAGAUGAGUUCUCCCUGACUCCUUGAGAGUCCUGAAGGAACGUUGAAGACGACGACGUUGAUAGGCCGGGUGUGUAAGCGCAGCGAUGCGUUGAGCUAACCGGUACUAAUGAACCGUGAGGCUUAACCUU
rnacentral:rRNA from 1 species